UACGUAGGGAGCAAGCGUUGUUCGGAUUUACUGGGCGUAAAGGGCGCGUAGGCGGCAAUUCAAGUCAGCUGUGAAAUCUCCGAGCUUAACUCGGAACGGUCAGCUGAUACUGUUUUGCUAGAGUGCAGAAAGGGCAACCGGAAUUCUUGGUGUAGCGGUGAAAUGCGUAGAUAUCAAGAGGAACACCUGAGGCGAAGGCGGGUUGCUAGGCUGACACUGACGCUGAGGCGCGAAAGCUAGGGUAGCAAACGGG
rnacentral:rRNA from 1 species